UGGGGAAUCUUGGACAAUGGGCGCAAGCCUGAUCCAGCCAUGCCGCGUGGAUGAUGAAGGCCUUAGGGUUGUAAAAUCCUUUCGCCGAGGACGAUAAUGACGGUACUCGGAGAAGAAGCUCCGGCUAACUUCGUGCCAGCAGCCGCGGUAAUACGAAGGGGGCUAGCGUUGUUCGGAUUUACUGGGCGUAAAGCGCGUGUAGGCGGGUCGUUAAGUUGGGGGUGAAAUCCCGAGGCUCAACCUCGGAACUGCCUUCAAAACUGGCGACCUGGACCUAAGUAGAGGCAAGUGGAAUUGCGAGUGCAGAGGUGAAAUUCGUAGAUAUUCGCAGGAACACCAGUGGCGAAGGCGACUUGCUGGACUUAUGGUGACGCUGAGACGCGAAAGCGUGGGGAGCAAACAGGAUUAGAUACCCCCGUAGUCCCUGAGCGGGCUGGCAAGGCGCAU
rnacentral:rRNA from 1 species